rnacentral:rRNA from 1 species
AUGGCUCAGAUUGAACGCUGGCGGCAGGCCUAACACAUGCAAGUCGAGCGGUAGAGAGAAGCUUGCUUCUCUUGAGAGCGGCGGACGGGUGAGUAAUGCCUAGGAAUCUGCCUGGUAGUGGGGGAUAACGUUCGGAAACGGACGCUAAUACCGCAUACGUCCUACGGGAGAAAGCAGGGGACCUUCGGGCCUUGCGCUAUCAGAUGAGCCUAGGUCGGAUUAGCUAGUUGGUGAGGUAAUGGCUCACCAAGGCGACGAUCCGUAACUGGUCUGAGAGGAUGAUCAGUCACACUGGAACUGAGACACGGUCCAGACUCCUACGGGAGGCAGCAGUGGGGAAUAUUGGACAAUGGGCGAAAGCCUGAUCCAGCCAUGCCGCGUGUGUGAAGAAGGUCUUCGGAUUGUAAAGCACUUUAAGUUGGGAGGA